rnacentral:tRNA from 1 species
AAUUUGGUGACUGAUUUAGGUGAUAGAUUUUUAAUCUAUUUAUGAGGUGAACUCCCAAAUUG